AUGAUAGGAAGUGAGGAGAAGGUGCCGGUGACUAUUUUGAGAGACACUGGGGCAUUUAACUCUUUCAUUCACGCAGAGGUUUUACCCUUGUCCAACGAAUCACAAACGGGUAGCUCUGUUCCUGUUCGGGGUAUGGAUUUGAAUAUGUUGUUUGUUCCGGUGCACAAAGUGAUGCUUGACUGUGAGCUGUUCCAGGGUGAAGCUGAGCUAGCUGUGCGUCCGGCGUUGCCAAUCCGGGGAAUUCAUGUCGUUCUGGGUAACGAUUUAGUGGGUGCUCGGAUGUGGGCAGAGGUACCUCCACCUGCGGGUGUGGUGCCAGGGUCACUUGUGGGAUUGCAGACAGACGAAAAUGAACAUCAUUUUCCUGAGGCUUACACAGCCUAUGCUGUAACUCGUGCUAUGGCUACUUUGAAAACUGAAGCUCGGUCAAAUAAGGAAAAUGUUUCUGGGAAGUUCUCAAUACCUCUGUCUAAUUUCCCUGUGUCAAUAUCCCGUAGUGAUCUGGUUGCUGAGCAGCAGGCUGACCCCUCCCUGAAGGUGCUGUUUGAGCAGGUCCAACCUGAGAGUGAAGUACUGGACAGUGCUUGCAGUUAUUUUCUUCAGGAUGCGCUUUUGGUGAAGAAAUGGGUUCAGCACAGCAAGAGUUUUGUUGGAGAUCCAGUGUUUCAAUUAGUGUUGCCAGUCGCACUCCGCCAGUCAGUGUUAAAAGUAGCUCAUGAUGAGUCUGGACACUGGCGUAAAAAAAAAAAACAUGUCAUAACAACAACUUGUCAUACAUGCCAGAUGACGGAUAAACCUUACCGAGCAGUGGUUUGUGUAGCUGGUUCAAGGAAGGGUGAGUCUCAUCCUGACGCUCUGGUAUGUGAGCGAACCUUGUUGUGUGGACAUUUGAAAAACUUAGAAGCUCUCGGUAACAUUGAUAAACUGGUGCAUAGAUAUCCUUUAUGUAAAGGGGACCGACAACGUAGUGGCGGACGCGCUGUCCUGAGCUCCCCAGGUGUGAUAUCUUAA
rnacentral:lncRNA from 15 species